CUUGGCUCGCGCAACGAUGAAGGACGCAGCGAACUGCGAAACGCAAUGUGAAUUGCAGAAUUCAGUGAAUCAUCAGAUUUCUGAACGCAAAUGGCACCUUGGGGAUAUUCUCCUU
rnacentral:rRNA from 2 species